rnacentral:miRNA from 1 species
CCGGGGCCAGAUCUCAGAAGC